rnacentral:rRNA from 1 species
CCUACGGGUGGCAGCAGUGAGGAAUAUUGGUCAAUGGACGAGAGUCUGAACCAGCCAAGUAGCGUGAAGGAUGACUGCCCUAUGGGUUGUAAACUUCUUUUAUAUGGGAAUAAAAUGUUCCACGUGUGGGAUUUUGUAUGUACCAUAUGAAUAAGGAUCGGCUAACUCCGUGCCAGCAGCCGCGGUAAUACGGAGGAUCCGAGUGUUAUCCGGAUUUAUUGGGUUUAAAGGGAGCGUAGGUGGAUUGUUAAGUCAGUUGUGAAAGUUUGCGGCUCAACCGUAAAAUUGCAGUUGAAACUGGCAGUCUUGAGUACAGUAGAGGUGGGCGGAAUUCGUGGUGUAGCGGUGAAAUGCUUAGAUAUCACGAAGAACUCCGAUUGCGAAGGCAGUUCACUGGACUUCAACUGACACUGAGGCUCGAAAGUGUGGGUAUCAAACAGGAUUAGAUACCCUAGUAGUC